rnacentral:lncRNA from 1 species
AAAAACCUGGUUGCACCAGCCUACAAAACAGCUGAUACAUUUUGAUUUGCAGCCUUUCUUUAGCCCAGCAGUAGAGUUUGGUGUCAGAAACUGAGCUGUUUGCUGCUGCUACUUCCUGAGGUGGGUCAGCGGGUGUUUAAAGCAGUGAUGUGACUUUACCCCGAGAGAAAGGGGUGGGGGUGGGGGGAGGGGAAGUGUGUGUAUGUGUGGGGGUCAGGGUGUGUGAUCACUGAACCGCCCAGAGCACGAAAACAGACCCAGGGAGUGAAGACGCGGCAGGCAGAGUAACCGAAGGAACCGUUGAGGAGAAAAGAGGGACUCCGAGAAACCGCAGGGGAGGGAGAGAGAGCGAGGACAGGAGCAUGGAGGAACACGAAGGACCCAUCCUCCACAGCCCUGAUGAAGGCCAAGCCAUCUGUCCCGCAGAAAACAAGCCAGAGAGAGAGAAGGUCACGCUGUGGACACAGGCACUCCUGCUUGUGGCCAUAUUAGCGCU